AACGAACGCUGGCGGCGUGCUUAACACAUGCAAGUCGAACGCGGAAGGGACUUCGGUCCUGAGUAAAGUGGCGCACGGGUGAGUAACACGUGGAUAAUCUACCCGAUGGACCGGGAUAACACUUCGAAAGGGGUGCUAAUACCGGAUAAGCCCACAGGCUCCCUGGAGCUUGCGGGAAAAGGUGGGGACCUUCGGGCCUGCCGUCAUCGGAUGAGUCCGCGGCCCAUUAGCUAGUUGGUGGGGUAACGGCCCACCAAGGCGACGAUGGGUAGCUGGUCUGAGAGGAUGAUCAGCCACACUGGAACUGAGACACGGUCCAGACUCCUACGGGAGGCAGCAGUGGGGAAUUUUGCGCAAUGGGGGAAACCCUGACGCAGCAACGCCGCGUGAGUGAUGAAGGCUUUCGGGUCGUAAAGCUCUGUCAGAGGGGAAGAAACUGUUGUGGUCGAACAGGCCGCAAGACUGACGGUACCCUCAAAGGAAGCACCGGCUAACUCCGUGCCAGCAGCCGCGGUAAUACGGAGGGUGCAAGCGUUGUUCGGAAUUAUUGGGCGUAAAGCGCGUGUAGGCGGUUCGUUAAGUCUGAUGUGAAAGCCCGGGGCUCAACCCCGGAAGUGCAUUGGAUACUGGCGGACUUGAGUACGGGAGAGGGAAGUGGAAUUCCGAGUGUAGGGGGUGAAAUCCGUAGAUAUUCGGAGGAACACCGGGUGGCGAAGCGGCUUCCUGGACCGAUACUGACGCUGAGACGCGAAAGCGUGGGGAGCAAACA
rnacentral:rRNA from 1 species